AGUGAACGCUGGCGGCAGGCCUAACACAUGCAAGUCGAACGGCAGCACAAGGGAGCUUGCUCUCUGGGUGGCGAGUGGCGGACGGGUGAGGAAUGCAUCGGAAUCUGCCCAUUUGUGGGGGAUAACCUCGGGAAACCGGGACUAAUACCGCAUACGACCUACGGGUGAAAGCAGGGGACCUUCGGACCUUGCGCAGAUGGAUGAGCCGAUGCCGGAUUAGCUAGUUGGAGGGGUAAAGGCCCACCAAGGCGACGAUCCGUAGCUGGUCUGAGAGGAUGAUCAGCCACACUGGGACUGAGACACGGCCCAGACUCCUACGGGAGGCAGCAGUGGGGAAUAUUGGACAAUGGGCGCAAGCCUGAUCCAGCCAUGCCGCGUGUGUGAAGAAGGCCUUCGGGUUGUAAAGCACUUUUGUUGGGAAAGAAAAGCAGCCGGUUAAUACCCGGUUGUCAUGACGGUACCCAAAGAAUAAGCACCGGCUAACUUCGUG
rnacentral:rRNA from 1 species